GAUGAACGCUGGCGGCGUGCUUAACACAUGCAAGUCGAACGAAGCACUUUAUUUGAAUUCCUUCGGGACUGAUUAUUUUGUGACUGAGUGGCGGACGGGUGAGUAACGCGUGGGUAACCUGCCUUGUACAGGGGGAUAACAGUUGGAAACGGCUGCUAAUACCGCAUAAGCGCACAGCAUCGCAUGAUGCAGUGUGAAAAACUCCGGUGGUAUAAGAUGGACCCGCGUUGGAUUAGCUAGUUGGUGAGGUAACGGCCCACCAAGGCGACGAUCCAUAGCCGACCUGAGAGGGUGACCGGCCACAUUGGGACUGAGACACGGCCCAAACUCCUACGGGAGGCAGCAGUGGGGAAUAUUGCACAAUGGGCGAAAGCCUGAUGCAGCGACGCCGCGUGAGCGAAGAAGUAUUUCGGUAUGUAAAGCUCUAUCAGCAGGGAAGAUAAUGACGGUACCUGACUAAGAAGCACCGGCUAAAUACGUG
rnacentral:rRNA from 1 species